rnacentral:rRNA from 1 species
UGGGGAAUUUUGGACAAUGGGCGCAAGCCUGAUCCAGCAAUGCCGCGUGCAGGAUGAAGGCCUUCGGGUUGUAAACUGCUUUUGCACGGAACGAAACGGCUCUGUCUAAUACGGUGGGCGCAUGACGGUACCGUAAGAAUAAGCACCGGCUAACUACGUGCCAGCAGCCGCGGUAAUACGUAGGGCGCGAGCGUUAAUCGGAAUUACUGGGCGUAAUGCGUGCGCAGGCGGUUAUAUAAGACAGAUGUGAAAUCUCCGGGCUCAACCUGGGACCUGCAUUUGAGACCGAAUAGCUAGAGUACGGUAGAGGAGGGUGGAAUUCCGCGUGUAGCAGUGAAAUGCGUAGAUAUGCGGAGGAACACCGGUGGCGAAGGCAAUCCCCUGGUCCUGUACUGACGCUCAUGCGCGAAAGCGUGGGGAGCGAACA